CCCUUAGAUGUCCUGGGCCGCACGCGCGCUACACUGAUGCAUUCAACAAGUUUAUAACCUUGACCGAGAGGUCUGGGUAAUCUUUUAAACGUGCAUCGUGAUAGGGAUAGAUUAUUGCAAUUAUUAAUCUUGAACGAGGAAUUCCUAGUAAACGCUGUUCAUCAGACAGCAUUGAUUACGUCCCUGCCCUUUGUACACACCGCCCGUCGCACCUACCGAUUGAAUGGUCCGGUGAGCUGUCCGGACUGGCCGUCUGUUGCUUCAUUGCGAUGGGCAGCCGGGAAGUUCCGCAAACCUUAUCAUUUAGAGGAAGGUGAAGUCGUANCA
rnacentral:rRNA from 1 species